rnacentral:lncRNA from 1 species
GCAAAGCCGGCGCGAUUCACCGCGCCCACGCAAUCGACCAUGUCAUGGCCCAUGGUCAGUCAGAUACGACGCCAGCUAUCCGAUUAGGAGGUAAACGUCCUCUUUGAAGCAAUAAGAAACCAGUUUUUAUCUUUUAGUUAAUAAAGACCAGCUUCUUGGUUUUAAAAAACUGGGAAUCUAAUUUCUAUAAACUAAGAAAAAAACUGGUAUAUUUGGAACCACAUCAAUUUUCACAAACUAGUUUAUUAAAAACUGGACGCUUCUAAAUAUUGCCCUUAGUCACUUUUAGUCACUAAACUAUCCAACAUCUUUCCAAAUAGCAAUUCUAAAGAUUAAAGUUUAGUCCCUAAAAUUUAAAAAGGGUGAUUAAAAGUCUAAAAGGAACCAAACACCCCCUUGAUCACUAGGAGAUUGAUCUUAUCGAAGUAUUUACCAUUCAACUUUUUUGUUGUAUUCUCAGAGGAUUGUGCAAAACUGCUGGUGCUGGUUAAUAGUACCGAUGACCUGGUGCAAGCGUUUUUAUUCCGUUUAUGGUUAGUUUGAUUGAUAAGCGCAUGUUAUAUUUUCUGUCUCUGUACGGGUGAAUUAUCUACCAACUACCUAAACAUUUGGCCAUUCUUAAAAAAAAAAAGAGCAGUAGUAGUAUAAAAGACUAGACUCACGAGUCCCUUUUGUCAUCGUCGACCUUAUUGACCUUCUCUGUUCACUGUACGAAAUUCUCUUAUUUUCUCUCGUUGUUGUAGCUAAAAACUGUGUACUGAAGAAAAGUUCAGUAUCAAACAUUGCUUUGUUUCUUUUUGACGGGGCAAGCAUUGCUUGUUGAGUUGCUUUGAAAAUGUUAGCUCUACAUGUACACUGCAGAAGCAGUUGUUUGUUUUUCUCAUUUUUUGUAUUUUCUAAACCAUGGUUAUACUCGGUUUCUUCACCAGAUUCUCCCUAAAUUUUAAUCUAUUAGGUGAACUGCCCACUCAUUAAGUUCAGCAUGCUAUCGAUAUUGGAAGAAUCAUAUGUCUACCGGCUAAAGAGAAUGGUUUCUAUCAACAUGUGUCAGCGUGCAGAUUUCAGAAUCAAUUAGGAUUUGCGGCAGCAAGAAGUUUUAACUGACACUUGCAUACGGUGAUCAGAAGAGAAACCCUUGGAAAAAGUUGUCCGGACAUCAGCUGGCAUAUGCAAACCAAUUAUUGUCUCAUUUACGAGCACAUCGACCAAAUCGUUCUGUAUCUGGUAGUGGCAGGCCUUUCCACAUAUUUGCAACAAUUACUCUUCAACCGACAAAUGGUUUUCUUUUGUGGCACUACCUAUUUUAAACUUUAUACGUGAUGUUCUUUAAAUUUAUUAUGUGUUAUCGUUAUUAAUGGAAUACGAUAGCUCCUGCUACAAUUACUUUGGGAACAUCAUAGCAUGUUGUAGUAGUUAAAAAAGAUACUGAUAUGAGACCAGAGGUCACAGCCACAGAGGUUGUGUCAAGUCUAGGGUUGGUUGAACCUUGAUGUAACUUUUGAAGGGAAGGUUGACACAAAUUUCGUUGGAUUUGUAGGGCGUGAAUUCCAACUAUUUUGAUCUCACCAAUACUUCUUUCUAACUAAUCAGUUGACGAAAGGUGUUAUUUAGAUGCGAUUUCUGCUGUUUGAGUUUCAACGCUUCACACUGCCGUGAACAAUGCUCUUGAAAUCCAAUGAAAAGAUACCCAGAUUCUGGAGGUUUUACAUGGACAAAGCAAAUCAGCAGCUAAUCAUAACAGUGCUGAUUGGUUGAUGAGUUCGAAUAAAUUUCUCUGUAUCCCAUGAACAGCAAAGGCACCUCUGUUAGUAUGAGGGACACUUUGUGCUUUUAGACUAGAAAUACUAUACUGAUAAUGUUGUUGACAAGCUUGGCGAUAACGAUCCUGCGUACUUUAGUCUGCUCCUUUUGGUAGUUAACUUUUAUCAUGUGGAUCCGGGAAGAACAGUGCAUUAAUUUGUGUCGGUGAUGUAGAUCUUAGAAGUACACACUACUUUGCAACAUGGUAAAACAUGCCUUUUAUGUUCUGGUUGAUUUGGCUGUUUUCCCUUUUUUCAGGAAAUUGUUAUUGUCAAAGCUCUGAAACUUGAUGAUGUUGAAGAAGGCUGCUAGAUGCUGAAUAGCUUACCUAUAAGGUUGGUUUGGAACAGAGGAUUUUCCAGCCAGGUCCAUCCUUAUCAAACGACAGCCUUUUUUCCCCCUCUAGAUGACUAUUAUGUCAGCUGUAAAUGUUCAUAUUUUUUUUCCAGAGUUCCCAGGUUAGCCCCCAGUCUAUAGCAUUGCAAUAGGACCAAACGUUCAUACUUCCACAGUACGCUGUAUCCACGUCUUUGUAAAUUAUCUUCAAUGCAUGGUUGCUCUAGUACCUCUCUGUUUGCAUUGUAUACUCUGGUCACUGAAUCUUUCGAUGCACGGAGAACUCUGCAGUGUAAAGUUCUUUGAGCUGAUAACAGUUUAGGCUCUGACGCACUGAUCUAUUCAAUGGUAUUUUGUUUCCGA